rnacentral:tRNA from 1 species
AGCUCAGUUGGGAGAGCAUCUGCCUUACAAGCAGAGGGUCAGCGGUUCGAUCCCGUUA